GAGUUUGAUCAUGGCUCAGAUUGAACGCUGGCGGCAUGCCUUACACAUGCAAGUCGAACGGCAGCAUGAUCUAGCUUGCUAGAUUGAUGGCGAGUGGCGAACGGGUGAGUAAUACAUCGGAACGUGCCCUGUAGUGGGGGAUAACUAGUCGAAAGAUUAGCUAAUACCGCAUACGACCUGAGGGUGAAAGUGGGGGACCGCAAGGCCUCAUGCUAUAGGAGCGGCCGAUGUCUGAUUAGCUAGUUGGUGGGGUAAAGGCCCACCAAGGCGACGAUCAGUAGCUGGUCUGAGAGGACGAUCAGCCACACUGAGACUGAGACACGGCCCAGACUCCUACGGGAGGCAGCAGUGGGGAAUUUUGGACAAUGGGCGAAAGCCUGAUCCAGCAAUGCCGCGUGUGUGAAGAAGG
rnacentral:rRNA from 1 species